rnacentral:rRNA from 1 species
AUUGAACGCUGGCGGCAGGCUUAACACAUGCAAGUCGAACGAGUGGCGGACGGGUGAGUAAUGUAUGGGGCUCUGCCCGAUAGAGGGGGAUAACUACUGGAAACGGUGGCUAAUACCGCAUACUAUCGGAUGAACCCAUAUGGUAUUAGCUAGUAGGUGGGGUAAAGGCUCACCAAGGCGACGAUCCCUAGCUGGUCUGAGAGGAUGAUCGGCCACACUGGAACUGAGACACGGUCCAGACUCCUACGGGAGGCAGCAGUGGGGAAUAUUGCACAAUGGGCGCAAGCCUGAUGCAGCCAUGCCGCGUGUGUGAAGAAGGCCUUAGGGUUGUAAAGUACUUUCAGCGGGGAGGCGUUACCCGCAGAGAAAGCACCGGCUAACUCCGUGCCAGCAGCCGCGGUAAUAC